rnacentral:rRNA from 1 species
UACGUAGGUGGCAAGCGUUGUCCGGAUUUACUGGGCGUAAAGAGCGCGCAGGCGGUCGUUCAAGUCGCGUGUGAAAGCCCCCGGCUCAACUGGGGAGGGUCACGCGAUACUGAUCGAACUCGAAGGCAGGAGAGGGUAGUGGAAUUCCCGGUGUAGUGGUGAAAAUGCGUAGAGAUCUGGAGGAACACCGAUGGCGAAGGCAGCCCCCUGGGCUAAC